CCAGCCGUAAAACUAUGCUCGCUAGGUGUCAGGCAUGGCGCGACCGUGUCUGGUGCCGCAGGGAAGCCGUGAAGCGAGCCACCUGGGAAGUACGGCCGCAAGGCUGAACUUAAGGAUUGGCGGGGGAGCACAACAACGGGUGGAGCCUGCGGUUUAAUUGGACUCAACGCCGGACAACUCGCCGGGGACGACAGCAAUAUGUAGGCCAGGCUGAAGACCUUGCCUGAAUCGCUGAGAGGAGGUGCAUGGCGUAGACGUCU
rnacentral:rRNA from 1 species